CCUACGGGUGGCAGCAGUGGGGAAUAUUGGGCAAUGGGCGGAAGCCUGACCCAGCAAAACCGCGUGAAGGAAGAAGGCCCUCGGGUUGUAAACUUCUUUUCUAUAGGACGAAGAAGUGACGGUACUAUAGGAAUAAGCCACGGCUAACUACGUGCCAGCAGCCGCGGUAAUACGUAGGUGGCGAGAGUUAUCCGGAUUUCCUGGGUGUAAAGGGCGUGUAGGCGGGAGUGAAAGUCAGAUGUGAAAACUACAGGGUUAACCCGUAGCCUGCAUUUGAAACUGUUCUUCUUGAGUGAUGGAGAGGCAGGCGGAAUGCCCAGUGUAGCGGUGAAAUGCGCAGAUAUUAGGAGGAACACCAGUGGCGAAGGCGGCCUGCUGGACAUUAACUGACGCUGAGGCGCGAAAGCGUGGGGAGCAAACAGGAUUAGAUACCCGGGUAGUC
rnacentral:rRNA from 1 species